ensembl:processed_transcript Snhg1 small nucleolar RNA host gene 1
GGUGACAAAUCUCAGGCAUUCAAAGGUUAGUUAGAUUAUUUUGGAUGGGGUUUGUUCACUAGGUUUGCUGUUUCUAUGAUGAAUCAAACUAGCUCACUAUGACUGCUAAUGAAAACACAGGAACACCUGAGAAACCAAAGGGUAGUGUGGGGGCAAGGGCCUUAUAUCCAGCCUUUUCAAGGUUUGUUAUUUUUCUCCAGGUUCUGUUAGCAGUGCCAUACUUGUGGGUUUACAGAGAUGGUGUGUCUGGCUGAGAACAAAGGAGCCGUACCAGGGAAGUUGAAGCCUAUCUUCAUUUUCAAGUGCAGGCUAAAAUAAGGUAAGAAAACUUAGAUGAAAAGUAUGCUGAACUAUAAUUUCCCCAUGAAGAAAUGUUCACACGACCUACUUCCUGUCCUAGCUCCAGAGCCUGAAAAGGUGAACCCACUGGGGCUGGCUGGGGGAAAAGAGGAAACUUUGUUCCAGAAGGAACUGUCUGAGGGAUCAUUUUUGUGC